rnacentral:rRNA from 1 species
UGGGAAUAUUGCACAAUGGGCGCAAGCCUGAUGCAGCCAUGCCGCGUGUGUGAAGAAGGCCUUCGGGUUGUAAAGCACUUUCAGCGAGGAGGAAGGUGGUGGACUUAAUACGUUCAUCAAUUGACGUUACUCGCAGAAGAAGCACCGGCUAACUCCGUGCCAGCAGCCGCGGUAAUACGGAGGGUGCAAGCGUUAAUCGGAAUUACUGGGCGUAAAGCGCACGCAGGCGGUUUGUUAAGUCAGAUGUGAAAUCCCCGGGCUCAACCUGGGAACUGCAUUUGAAACUGGCAAGCUAGAGUCUCGUAGAGGGGGGUAGAAUUCCAGGUGUAGCGGUGAAAUGCGUAGAGAUCUGGAGGAAUACCGGUGGCGAAAGGCGGCCCCCUGGACGAAGACUGACGCUCAGGUGCGAAAAGCGUGGGGAGCAAAACAGGAUUAGAUACCCUGGUAGUCCACGCUGUAAAACGAUGUCGAUUUUGGAGGUUGUGCCCCUUGAGGCGUGGNUUCCGGAGCU